GUAUCGCUUUCGUACGAAAGCAGCAGCGGCGUACGAAUGCGAUACGAACACAUACGAAUCCGAUUCGUUCUAACCAAUUCGAGCUUUCGAACAUCGUUGCUUUCGUACGAACGUGUCAUUCUUGUUUACGUACGUAUGCGUAUCCGUAUUCUUUUUGCUCUCGUUCGUAAACGUCAGUCAAAAGUUGCGAAUCGCUUUACGAAUCGCCGGCGCCGGUAGUUUUUUCUCGUUUUUCUGCUGUUUUAUGUAAAUUGUUUUUUUUUAAUCGAAUAAGCCGAAGAAGAUUUGUUUUUUAGUGAACUGUUAAAUAAAAAACUUUUGUGCUACUCGAUUUGCUAAAAUGAAAAGGCAAUCGAAAGUUGUGAAUCGCCAUCGCCGCGGGUUGUUUUGGUUAUUUCGUGUGAAGAAAAUCGGAUAAAUUGGACAAAGUUUCUUUUCUAGUGAAGGGUUGAAUGAUGAAAAAAUUUGCUGAAAUCGUUGCCGGAUAUUUGAAUCGUUUUGUUAGUGCUAUCAGCAAUAUCCUUUAAGCCAGUAAACUUAGUUGAAACGUCAUACUAGAUUAUUCCCCCACGAAAACGGCGAAUGUUUAUACGUUUAACCCAACGAACAAGCAAAGUUGUUGCAUCACUGAUUGACGAUGGCUUAUUAAAAUUUACAAGGCAGGUCUAAUGAGCAAAAAGACCUAUUUCAGUGAUCAGGAUGCAGGACCGUUGGCGACACCGAAAUUAUUACAAAAAGAUCCAGCACCGGUUGAAAUACCUCCAAGUUCGUCGAUCACACCAAUAUCAACGUUUUAUGGGGACCAGUGCCGUAGGAGCUGAUUACAGCGGAAUGUACCGCUAAUUGUUACAAUUCUCAAAAAAUUGUGAGGAUAUUUCGGCUUGUUUGGUUUGCUGACGAAACCUGCCAUUCGUUAGUUGGGUGUUGACAGACAGACAGACAGGGCUUUGAUUUUGAUAAGGAUACAAAAUAACUACAGACGGUGAAAAACAGUAUGCCAUCUAACGUGCCACCCACCAUGCCAAUCACAGUUUGUUCAUAUUCAUAAAAGGACCACCACCCAUGAACGGCAUUGUCGAAGACAAUUUUUUAAAAUAACGACUUUUACGACUUGGUUACCAAUCAAAUUGAAAAUCGUGGAACAAUUUUAUCGAUAACAGUGGUGGUGGCGGCUCUGGUAGUGGUCGGCGCCACUAAAGCAACUGGAUGAACAAUUAUCGUUGAGGCCUCCGAAGUAGCAACUACCGGCCACUAUGGCUAUCAACCAUUAUUCUGCUUGUAUAGAGCAUAUUUGUCAUAGAGCAUAAUAUAACAGCGCUUAGUAUAUAAGAUGAAAACUAUGCCAAAUGAGCUAACGUCGAAUAUCGACCAUUCUUGGUUUAAAUUAAACUUUACUCACGUUUGAAUAACUUAAAAAAGCUCAUGUGUCAUUUUUGACUAACAAAAUUUUUAAUAAA